rnacentral:misc_RNA from 1 species
GCCGUCUCCUCCCCCGCGCGACCCCUCCCGUGAUGGCCGCCGCCGCCUACCCCGCGCGACACCAGCCGCCACCUACCCCGCGCGACAACGCCCGUGAUGCCCGCCGCCGCCUACCCCGCGCGACACCACCAAUGGUGCCCUUCCUUCCCCGGCACCCGCAACCCGCCAGCUCCGCGCGAGCCGCCGGCGGGAUACCCGCCUCCCCCGCGCCCCCGCCAGCUCCGCGCGAGGCGCCAGCUCCGCGCGUCCGCCGCAGUGAUGCCGCGCGAUGAAGGCCGCACGGGAGAGACGCUGGGAAAGCCGCUCCUUCCGGCGUUGCAGUGGGGGCGUCCACAGCUGUGCCAUGCCCCCGCCCCGUCCGAGACGCCGACCACGACCCAGGAUUCUCGCUUCCCGUCCACGUCCGUGAUUUUCCCAGCGAAGCUGACCACGCCUCCCUGUACGCACCUCCCGACAUCCUCGCCGACAUGCUCGCACUCCUGUCCCCGUCUGAGAUCCUCGCGUCGGCGCCUUCGGUGGAAGUCCGGAAUCGCCCGGCUCUCCUCCACCGCGCCGCCAGCCUCACUGAGAAGAGUUCAUCUGCCUCCUCCUCAACGCUUGACCCCACCGCCGCUGGAUCCAACACCCUGCCCUCGUCCUUCUUCUCCGACCUACUCACCAGUGACGACGUGGGCACCCUGGCCAGACGCACGCCAUGGACAGCAGGUGGGCAGGAACACCUUCUACGUGGAUCCUCUUCUCCCGUGCUCCUCGACGCACGAGAGCGAGCUCGGACUGGAUCCUCUCCUACCGCUCCAUGCAGGGAGAGUUCUAUAAUUAUUCUG